CUUGGGCUGAAAUCAGGAGUUGGAUGCUUAACUGACUGAACCACCGAGGUUCAGUCAGUCACUUAUGAGUUUUAAAAUUAAAAAAAAAAAAAAAGAA